GUGUCACUGUAGAGCCCCGUAAUGGCAUUUCUCCUUUCUCUUUUCUCCUGUUCAACCUUUCAUGGCCACCCUCACUCCCUCUCACAGGCUUCCUGUCCAUCAUUCUUACCCUCCAUCCUUGUCAUGCUUCUCAACCUACCUCUAUCUUUUUUCUCAUUCCCUUUCCCCCCUCUUUCCAUCUCUCUCUGUCCUUCUCUCCAUCUCUGGUCCAGGCAAGAAGACGGUGCGACUCUGAAAUUAACUCCCGACCCUGUGACGUACUCAUCUCCCAGAGUUUCAACACAGCACAGUGGAAAGAUUUGUGUGUGGGAGAUGUGUUGCGGAUCCGUAAAGACCAAGUCAUCCCUGCAGAUCUUCUCCUUCUGUGUAGUUCAGAACCUCACAGUCUGUGUUACGUGGAGACAGCUGAUAUUGAUGGAGAGACCAACCUCAAAUACGGCAGGCGCUCAGUGCUACACACAAUGAGUUGACCUCUCACCCCUCAGAGGAAACCCUUGGUGCCUUUGAUGGUGUUGUGCUCUGCGAGGAACCCAACAACCGCCUGUACAGCUUCAGAGGUCAGCUGCAGUGGAGAGGAGAGUGUCUUCUCCUGGACAACGAGCACAUCCUCCUGAGGGGAACAGUCCUACGCAACACAGACUUUGCCUACGGCUUAGCCAUAUAUACUGGUACUGGGAGAGGAAUGUAUUCAGUUUAGACACGUGGAUAUGAUCAUGGAUUAAUGAUUGCAGUUUUUAUUUAUAAGAUGGGUACUAGCUACUUUUAAACUCAUCUGUUAAGUCUAAAAAUGGCAUUGAUUAAAAGAGGUGAAAGAAAAGCUCUUAUCUAUGGUGCAGUGGCUUACAGAGGUUUAU